rnacentral:rRNA from 1 species
CACUUCUAAGGAAGGCAGCAGGCGCGCAAAUUACCCAAUCCUGACUCAGGGAGGUAGUGACAAGAAAUAACAAUAAACCGGCUUAUGACGGUUUAAUUGGAAUGAGUACAAUUUAAACAUCUUAACGAGGAACAAUUGGAGGGCAAGUCUGGUGCCAGCAGCCGCGGUAAUUCCAGCUCCAAUAGCGUAUACUAAAGUUGUUGCAGUUAAAAAGCUCGUAGUUGGAUUUCUGUGGGGACGGAGCGGCCGGCCGCACAUCGCGGUUCGAGCUAGCGCUUUCCCUACAUCCUGCCGCGAACCGUGCUACCAUUAAUUUGGUGGCGCCGGGGAUCGGCUCGAUUACUUUGAGAAAAAUAGAGUGUUCAAAGCAGGCCACACGCCUUGAAUAAGUUAGCAUGGAAUAAUAACUAAGGACUUCGGUUCUAUUUUGUUGGUGUUCGGGACUGAAGUAAUGAUUAAUAGGGACAAUUGGGGGCAUUCGUAUUAACACGUCAGAGGUGGAAUUCUUGGAUUGUGUUACGACGAACUACUGCGAAAGCAUUUGCCAAGGAUGUUUUCAUUGAUCAAGAACGAAAGUGAGGGGAUCGAAGAUGAUUAGAUACCGUCGUAGUCUUCACCAUAAACUAUGCCGACUAGAGAUUGGAGGUUCGUUUCUAUAUGACUCCUUCAGCACCUUAUGAGAAAUCAAAGUCUUUGGGUUCCGGGGGGAGUAUGGUCGCAAGGCUGAAACUUAAAGGAAUUGACGGAAGGGCACCACCAGGAGUGGAGCCUGCGGCUUAAUUUGACUCAACACGGGAAAACUUACCAGGUCCAGACAUAGUAAGGAUUGACAGAUUGAUAGCUCUUUCUUGAUUCUGUGGGUGGUGGUGCAUGGCCGUUCUUAGUUGGUGGAGUGAUUUGUCUGGUUAAUUCCGUUAACGAACGAGACCCCAGCCUGCUAAAUAGCGCGCGUGAGCUUUGCUCGCGGCGAGCUUCUUAGAGGGACUCUGAUGCGCGAUAGCACAUGGAAGUUUGGGGCAAUAACAGGUCUGUAAUGCCCUUAGAUGUUCUGGGCCGCACACGGGCUACACUGGCGCCUGCAACGAGCAUAUCAGCUGGCCCGAGAGGGUCUUGGCUAAUCUUUUGAACCGGCGCCGUGCUUGGGAUUGACCUUUGCAAUUGUUGGUCAUGCAACGAGGAAUGCCUUGUAAACGCGAGUCAUCAGCUCGCAUUGAAUACGUCCCUGCCCUUUGUACACACCGCCCGUCGCUCCUACCGAUGAAUGUUCCGAUGAAAUUUUCGGAGAGCACCUGUGAACUUGGCUCUGCCUUGCGAACGGGAGGCUCAAAGUCACUUAAAUCUGAACAUUUCGAGG